rnacentral:lncRNA from 1 species
UGUGUUUGACAUAAUGUUGAAAAAGAAACUUGAAUGGAAAAUGCAUCAAUAAAAUAAAAGCAUAUUGCAAUUAUAUUCUGACCUUGGCUUUUCCCUCUAUAUUUCUCACAGGUUAAUUAUAUUCUAAAGCAUACCAAGCUCUUCGUGUUUGCUGCUGGAGUGACUGUGUGUUCCCUUGCCCUUAGAUGAAGAAAUGCUUUCAAAACCUCUGAAGAUGCCUGAAUGGUCUGAGGUUCUAAUGGUUUACAUUUUCUUAUCGUUCAUAUGGAUAAAAAUAUGGCUGCAUUCCAACUGUCAAGAUACAUUUGUGUGUUGCCUAUAAAACUAGCUCUUCUGUUUAAAUGAAGAGCAGAUAAAAAGCAUGUAUGCAAUUAGUCUAAUCGGUUCAAUGGCAAAUUACAGAGCAAAGAUUGUGGUAGGAUAAUCUUUCGGAUUAUUCAUUCUGAGUUUAAAAAUGUUUUGGCUUCUAACAGAAAUCCUUUAAUUAUAUGCUAAAGUGGUGAUAACCUCAUUACAAUAGUUUUGCUUAUUCCUCAAAGCAUUUAUUAGUUUACUUCUUUAAAAUUUGAAAGUGACUAUAAAGUUAGGAAGUAAACAUUUUUGAAAGGAUCAAUUAAUGAUUUAAUAAUUUGAAUUGUUCUCCAAAGAUUAGACAUGGCAAUUGAAAAUAAAUGUAGAAAUCUCUUCCCUAUGCUCAUCAAAAUUUUGACAUGUAUUCAUAUGCCUACUUAUAAAGGAGAUUGGCAGCACAUAAUUGAUACCAUCUAGCCUUUAUUUACAGCAAUCAAACAUAAGACCUUGACAACAUUAACAUGCCCUGUGUGCAUGUGUGCACAUACUCAUAUAUACACACACUCAUAUAUACACACCCACACAUAUAACACCCAUACACACACAUACAUAUACACACAUAUACACACAGAUACAUAAACACACACAUACUCUUCACAGUCUUUCUAGGUGAAUCCCCCAAUCUAAAAUGGCCUCCCUCCACACACCCUGUUUGUUUGUAUUAUCUCUAGCUUGCCUUUGCUUUUUGUCAUUGCCCAGGAGUGCCAAAUGCACCCAAUUUCAUCUUCAUUUGUUUAUGGGCUUGUCUAUCUCCCCACUGGAACAGUGCCCAGGGGGGAUAGUGGCUGUUUCUGAAUUGUUCACUGCUGUAUCCUCAGUACCUAGAUCAAUGCACGGCUCACGAUAGGUGCUAAGAAUUUGUUCAGUGAAUAAGUGACUGUUCCCAUUUGGACUUAAGCUUGUGCAGGGAAAAAAACAGACUGCUUUUCCUCUGCUCUCACCCCACAAUCAACACAGAAGACUUCUAUGGCCAAAUGUGUGCAUUUUUCCCCCCAUAUACUAAGCAAUCAAUCUGUUCCACAGCAGAUGCCAGCUGGGAGUCCUCCAGCCCAGGCAGUGCUGAGUCUACUGGAGAUAGCGUCAGACCCCACGGAAUGAAGGCUCAGUCCCACAAGACUGCCUCCACUUCCGGUGCCAAUCGCAAACCCCAGGUUGUUCACUUGUCUUCUGACUGACCAGCUAUAAAUCAGGGAUCCCAUGGAGCCGCUCAUAGAACUCAGGAAAUCUCUUAUGUUUGCUAGUUUAUUACAAAGGACGUUACAAAGACUGCAGAUGAAGAGGUGCACAGGACAGGGCAUGGGAGAGGGGUGUGCCACCCUCUAGGCACCUCCACGUGUUCAGCUGUUUAGGAAAAUCUCUCAAACCCUGUUCUUCCUCUCCUCUCACACCUCAGCAGCCAUCAAUGCAGAAGACUUUUGUGACCUAAUGUGGUGGGGUUGGUUUCUUCACAUAGCAAUCAGUGGACACCAGCUGGGUCCCUCUAAUUCAGUUCUAACGCUAUCUACUUGGAGGUAACCUCAGAUCCCACAGGUUGAGGCUUAGUCCCCAAGACAGCCCGCCUCAGACACCAGUGGCAAGUCCAGGCUCUGAAACUUCUGACUGACUGGCUGGCUAUAAAUUGGGGAUACCAGGACCCUCUUUGGGUUUAAUUUGUUGGAGUGGCACACAGAACUCAGGGGAACACCAACUUGUGUUUACCAGUUUAUUGUAAAGGAUAUUACAAGGAUACAUCCAUCAAGGAUACAGAUAAUGAGAUGCGGAGUGAGGUAUUGGGGAGGGCACAGAGCUUCCACGCCCUCCGUGGGUAUCACGCUCCAGGACCCUACCCAGGCUCAACCACCCGGAAGCUCUCUGAACCCUGUCCUCUUGAGUUUUUAUGGCAGCUUCAUUAUGUAGGCAUGAUUGAUUAAACCAUUGGCCAUUGAUGAUCAACAUAACCUCCAGCUUCUUCCCCUCCCUGGAGAUUAGGAGGUGGGACUGAAAGUCCUAGCCCUCUAAUUGUGCCUUUGUCUUUCUGGUGGCCAACCAUAUCCUGAAGCUAUCAGUAAACAUCAGCAAACAAAAAGACAGCACUUCGAAGUUUCCAAGGAUUUUAGGAGUUGUAUGCCAGGAAAACUGGCGAAGACCAAAUAUAUGUAUUUCAUAAUAUCAUAGCUUCCUUCUCUGAAUUUCUGUAAGACUUUAGCUUCACAUGUGAAAAUAAGUAAUUCAAAAUCUAAGCUACUGAAACUUUGAAAUAUUUCAAGCCUUAAGGAAAUGUGAUUAUGGGAUCUGAGUCAUGCAAACAGGCAGCUGUAAUGUAGGCAGCUGUAAUCUUUAUUUCUCUGAUUAUAGAUUAGCCUUCUUCCUUACCUACAGUGUUUUGUAAAAUGCUGCAAAUGACUAAAGAGUGACAAGAAAGACCCCUUCCCUCUUCACUACUGAUCUUUGUUAUAGAUUAACAUCCUUCUUACCUUUCUCACACAAAGACUUUGGCUAUCACCUUGCCUAAAAUAAAAUGUUAAAUAUACACUUUUAAAUUGGAAACAAAAACUAGCUGUAAAGAAAAGAAAACGUGUCACAUGGAGAAAAAAGCAAACUGCACUAAUUAAAUUUUUGCAACUAAUAAACCAGACUUGCAUAGAAAAUGUUAUAAUCCUACUAAACUUCUUUGUUUUCUGCCUAAUGAGAAAUAAAAAAUAAAAUCCUAAGCCCCCCAUGUGACUAAACAGACUCCCUCUUAGCCAAGAGGACCCUGAAGAAACCUUAAAAAAAACAGCUCUCAGCCAUGACAGUAUAGGAUGUCAGAUGGGCCUCAUGAUAGACCCUCCUUUGCUAAAUGCCAUUAGACUUUCUUUUCCUAAGCUUUAAACAAAAACCAGCCCUCCUGAAAGACUUACUUGACUGCUGAUUUCAACCAAUCACCUGACACUACCCCGGUUUGGUGGACAGCAACUGAUCAACAUUCCUUCCUGGUAAGAGACCACCAACCAUGGAGUGGUUUGGAUCAGUUUAAAGAGACUGCACAAUGAGGGCCUUCAGGUCAUCUGCUUUACCUUUUGAUGUAUAGGAUCUAAUUAUAAUACAUUUAAAUGAUAAGUCUCCACCCCAAAGUAAACGUGGGAUACAUGUUACUUAUGUGUUACUCUACUACACAUGCCUAUGCCUCCCCUUUGUAAAAUAUUCAGAGCUCCUCUUAUAACCUGUAGAAUAUAUAUACCUAGCCAAUCUGUUCAACAUAAGUUCCUGUCUUAUCCUUCCCUCCCUUGAAGUGCCUGCUUUCAGCUUCUGAAAGAGGCUAUGCUUCCCAGCCUACAGGCAGCAACCCUUUAUGAGAAAUAAAGCUCUCCUUUCCAAAUUUAUGAACCUCAUGAUUCUUCAGAUGACACUAUAUAUAAAAGCAAAACAACUUUUAAGUUCAAAGUGCUGACCCUACUUCUCUAGUGUCUUUGUCUUCCAGAUGGUCAUUCCCAGCUUUUCACCAGAAUAAGCUUUUUAAACUGGAUUCUGAUCAUUUCUAUUAUUUCAGGCUGACACACAUAAUUCAUCACCUCCUUCAUCUUACUACAGUCAUUCAUUCAUUUACCAUGUCUUCCUGUGAGCUCCCUGAGAGCAGGUUCUGUGGUAGGUAAAUUUGUGUUCCCUCUGGCACUCAACUCAGGAACUUGACAUUGAAAGGUGCUUAAACAUAUUAUUGAAGAAAUGCAUUCAUCUAUUCAAGUCCUGUUUCCUAAGAACAUUUCAGUAAAGUCUAUUCUGUAAAAAUGUUCAUCUAUGGACAUGUAUAGAUAUUUGUUUGAUUAUAGCUAGGAGCCAGUAUUAGCAUUGAAGAUUUGUUCUUAUAGUGCAUGUUCUCAUAAAACCAAGUCUGGACACGAUCAGUUUCUGUCCUUGGCACAAUUGGAGAAAGAUCUUUGCUGCCACAAUUUCCUAAAUGCCUGUCUUGUUGUCCAAGCAUGAAAGGGUUUCCUUUGCCACAUCCUCACUUUGCACUUCUCAGAGUCAGGUUCUCUGUGUCCCUGGUGCUUAAAUCAUUUUAGGCUAAAGGAAAAUGAUAAUGAAGACACAUAUUCUCCCUCUCAUUCACUGCCUCUCUCUUCUGGUGGUUUCUAUCUUAAUGGAUUGAUAUAGUUUGGCUCUGUGUCCCCACUCAAAUCUCAUGUUGAAUUAUAAUUCCCAAUGCUGGGGGAAGGACAUAGUGGGGGGUGAUUGGAUCAUGGGGGUGAAAUUCCCCCCUGCUGUUCUCAUGAUAGUGAGUGAGUUCACACCAGAUCUGAUGGUUAAAAGUGUGUGGCACAUCCCCAUUUGCUGUCUAUCUCUCUCUCCUGCCACCAUGUAAAGAGGUGCAUUAGAUUAAAUGAAAUGAAAUAAUAUUUACUAACUACGUCCUCUUCACCUUUUGCCAUGAUUGUAAGAUUCCUGCGGCCUCCCAGUCAUGCUUCCUGUUAAGCCUGUGGAACUGUAGGUCAAUUAAACCUCUUUUCUUCAUGAAUUAUCCAGUCUCAGUAGUUCUCUAUAGCUGUGUGAGAACAGACUAAUACAUGGAUCUUAAUCCUAGAGAUGGACUCUUAAGCAUUGUCUUUUUUGGGACAGCACUGGAAUAAAAAUUUUCAGAUUUACAUGAGCCAAGAGAAGAGAGCAACGCUCUGAAUUAUCCUUGGGGAAACGGGGGAAGACAAAGUCUGCGGCACCCUGCAACUCACCCCGUAAGCUGUCGGCCUGCUGUAAAGACAUGUAGGGUGUUAAUUCCUUAUAUGACAAAACAAAUUUUGAUAAAUUUGAUUAGAAUUUUAUAUCUUGUGCUGUUUUCUAGGAUGCACAUGGGGAAGACGGACAUUUUUGUAAUUUUAGUAAAGUUCUGUAGGAUGAUGCACUGUGUAGCUAAAGGUGGUUGUUGUUGUGAUCUCAUGUUAUGGUUCUAGAUUUCCAGGUAGUAAUUUAAGUGUAGAGUAACAUAAUGGUGCCAGCCAUUCAUUUUAUGUUAAGUGUGCUUUUCCCACUCUCAUACCACAAAGGCAAUGUUAAAUAAUUACAGAGAAUUGAUUAUGAGGCCAAGAAAAUGAAAGGCUACUUUUGAAUGAUGCUUUAAUACAACUUAAAAGUUAAAUGUGAAGGAAACAGAUAGACUUCUAGAUUCAUUCAGAGCCCAAGGCCCUGUUACUUCUAAAAUCACAGAGUUAAUAAUCUCAACUUGGGGAGACUGAUUUGCUGUUAAAGAUCAUGCAAAGAGUGAGGCUAGUGAAUAUUAGUGAUUCUAGAAAAGUGAUUCUCAAAUAUUUUAUUACGUUGCGGCUAACAAAAUUGUUAAGGAGAGACCUGAGUAGAGAGACUCCUGAGUGUAACACUUAGUACCCUGAAAGUGUAAGAUUUGGACUCCAUUUUAUGAACAUUUUAAUCCACGUGAUCAUUGUUUUGAUUGAAAUGUCUAUAUAAUUGAGCCUGGUCUUAACAUUUCCUUAAAUAUUCACCAUUAGAAGUAAUCUUCUGUGAAAAAAAAAAAAAAGGAUCUCUUAGUUGGCUGAUCUUGGCUUGCUCAUUUUAAUACUAGGAAAAUGAUGUUAAUUUUUUUAAGAAAGACUUAAUGGUGCCAUGAUUAAGGGUGAUGGUUACUGGUGCUUAAAAAAAACUUCCCUCCCCAAUUUUAUGAUAUUUGUGCAUUUUAGAAAUUUUUGGAUAUCUUUUAAGGAAAGCACUGAGCAUGUCACAGAUAACCUCUGUUGAUAUUUUUACGUAAACCUUUCUUUUUACUGUGCUUACGACAUUUUUAAUAAAAUAAGAUCACAUUGUGCAAAGUAAAUAUGGAGUCCUUUGUAAUCUGUAUUAUUUUAAAACUGAAGUAUUAAAGAUUAUUCCAUUCCACUUAAUAUUAUUUUUCUGCAUCAGGCAUUUGAACAUGUGGUCUGUGACCCCACAUAAGGAGGUGAUGGCAGUGAUGCCACCGCCCAUCAGGAAGGCAGCUGCAGCCUCACACCCAACAGCAUUGAACCUUAAGGUCAUGGCUGGGAAUGUAGACCCGUCCAAUGUUCUCAAUUUGUUUUCCAGUGAGGGCUCUAGGACGAAAUCCUCUUUCAUGAGUCAUGUGAAAGAUGAAACGUGUGGCACUGAGUUUUGCAUUCAAAAUAAAAAGAAUAGACUAUUCUAACAUCUGUUACGUUGCUGUUUUGCUUAUUCUUGUGGAACUUAAGAACAAAGUGAAAACACCUAUUGGUUAGUUGCUUUCAAAUAAAAUGUAUUCAUCGCUAAUUUGUCCUUGUGAAAGGGUGCCCAUUCCUAAUGCAGGUGCACUGGCCGUGUGCACUCCAUGGUCCCAGCAGCUCUCGCUCCCUGGACUCCCGCCGUAGUGAGCGUUUACUAAGGACCUGUUGAUCUGGAAAGACAAACCCAACCCAAAGGAGAUUAAGGUACAGGGAAUAAGUUUGUGGAUCGUUCUUUUCUGAAACAAUAUUUUACUCCUUUUGCUUCUUUUUAGGGUAUCGUGCAGCAGUUUUUGGUGUUACUGACGACCAGCUCUGACGAGAGUCUUCGGUUUCUUAGCUUCAGGCUGGACUUCAACGAGCAUUACAAAGCCAGGGAGCCCAGGCUCCGCGUGUCUCUGGGUACCAGGGGGCGGCGCAGCUCCCACACGUGAAGCUCGCGGUCCUCCCAGGGAGCUGCGGGUGAUGUUCGUUGCACUGCUAGACACGAAAUUCCCAUUGACGUCCUGCAGGAACUGCAUGCUGCAGGUGUCCUGCCCUUCCGCCCACGAGUGCGCCAUGUUUCAGCGGAGCGGCGUGUGGGAGAAGCCACGUCGUGUUGCACACGUCGGAGUUGAAUGCAUUUGUAAAUCACUAAGUCAAGUAGGCUGGCUGCACUGUUCACAUUUGUCUCUAAAAGUCUUCAUCCCCAAAAGAUACCAUAAUUUGCUGAGGCUUCUGAAUCUUAAGUGCUCUAAGUUAUAACUUAUAUUUGUCACUUUAAAAGAACUGUUUGUUUAGCAAAAUCUACAGCAAGGGUAUAUUUAUAAAGUGAUAAUGUCAUUGCUGUUAUUUAGCAUCCUCUUCAGAAACUUUUUUUUGCAAUAUUAUUAGAUUAAACUGAAAUACAUAGAAAAUAUAGAGAGCAUUUUAUUAUCUUGGUAUUCAAGGUUGUAAAGUGUGAAAAUUUUUGUAUCUUACAUAUAUCUAUUCUUUUCUCUCUCCUUUCAAGGUUUACACUUACAGAUUUAAUUUACUAUUCUAGAUAACUUCUAAAAUAGUACAGAACACGAGUAGGAGUGUUGUGGAACAAAAACAUCCUUAAACUUAAAUUUCUUGACGCCACCAGCUGAAGCAGUGUGGCAACAGGAAUGACUAGAAAGUUAACAAAGUAUUUUAUUUUUACAAUUUU